UCGCUCCUACCGAUUUGAGUGGUGCGGUGAACCCUUCGGACCGGUACGCCGGAAAGUUGAGUAAACCUUACCACUUAGAGGAAGGAG
rnacentral:rRNA from 1 species